GAUGAAGAACGUAGCGAAAUGCGAUAAGUAAUGUGAAUUGCAGAAUUCAGUGAAUCAUCGAAUCUUUGAACGCACAUUGCGCCCUUUGGUAUUCCGAAGGGCAUGCCUGUUCGAGCGUCAUUAUAACCACUCAAGCUCUCGCUUGGUAUUGGGGUUCGCGGUCUCGCGGCCCCUAAAAUCAGUGGCGGUGCCUGUCGGCUCUACGCGUAGUAAUACUCCUCGCGAUUGAGUCCGGUAGGUGACUUGCCAGCAACCCCCAAAUUUUUUAGGUUGACCUCGGAUCAGGUAGGGAUACCCGCUGAACUUAAGCAUAUCAAUAAGCGGAGGA
rnacentral:misc_RNA from 1 species